rnacentral:rRNA from 1 species
AUAUGAUGAAGUAAUUAAGGGCGUACGGUGAAUGCCUUGGUGCCAACAGGCGAAGAAGGACGCGGCAAGCUGCGAAAAUCCUCGGGAAGCUGCAAGCAAGCGAUGAUCCGGGGGUAUCCGAAUGGGGUAACCUGAUCGAGUUAAUACUCGAUCGUUCAUACCUGAAUACAUAGGGUAUGAAACGCGAAACCCGCUGAAGUGAAACAUCUCAGUAAGCGGAGGAAAAGAAAGAGAAAUCGAUUCCGUAAGUAGUGGCGAGCGAAAGCGGAUGGAGCCCAAACCGAAGGUACUCCUUCGGGGUUGUAGGACCACGACAUAUUCGACCAUACUGGAUAGUAGAACAGCCUGGAAAGGCUGGCCGUAGAAGGUGAAAGCCCUGUAGACGAAAUCCAGCGUGGGAAUUAGUGGAAUCCUGAGUAAUACAUCACACGUGGAACGAUGUAUGAAUCAGCGCGGACCACCGCGCAAGGCUAAAUACUAGUUGGCGACCGAUAGUGAACAAGUACCGCGAGGGAAAGGUGAAAAGAACCGCUGUGAGCGGAGUGAAAUAGAACCUGAAACCGUAUGUCUACAAAGUGUCAGAGCAGAGCAAUCUGCGAUGGCGUGCCUUUUGUUUAAUGAGUCUGCGAGUCAGUGUUUGUGGCAAGACUAAGGGCUUCCGGCCCGGAGUCGUAGCGAAAGCAAGUCCGAAUAGGGCGAAUUAAGUCGCAGGUACUGGACCCGAAGCGGAGGUGACCUACCCUUGGCCAGGUUGAAGCAUGGGUAAAACCAUGUGGAGGACCGAACAGGUGAACGUUGAAAAGUUCUCUGAUGAGCUGAGGGUAGGAGUGAAAGGCUAAUCAAACCCCGUGAUAGCUGGUUCUCUUCGAAAUGCAUUUAGGUGCAGCGUCACGUGCUGAUGCGCGGGGGUAGAGCACUGACAAGGCUAGGGGGCACACCCGCUUACCAAACCUUAUCAAACUCCGAAUACCGUGCAAUGGAACGUGGCAGUGAGACAGUGGGGGAUAAGCUUCAUUGUCGAGAGGGAAACAACCCAGACCAGCAGCUAAGGUGCCUAAAUAACGCUCAGUGGAAAGGAUGUGGGAUUACACAGACAGUGAGGAUGUUGGCUUAGAAGCAGCCACCAUUUAAAAAAUGCGUAAUAGCUUACUCAUCGAGUGAUCCUGCGCCGAAAAUGAUUGGCGAUCAAGCGUUAUACCGAAGCUCUGGACUUUACCUUACGGUAGAGUGGUAGAAGAGCGUUGCAUACGCGUUGAAGGGUGAUGGCGACUGACCCUGGAGCGUAUGCAAGUGAGUAUGCAGACAUGAGUAACGUAAAGCCGGGUGAAAUCCCCGGCCGCCGUAAACCCGAGGUUUCCAGGGCAACGUGUUUCGUCCCUGGGUUAGCCGGGACCUAAGCCGAGGCCGAGAGGCGUAGGCGAUGGACAUCAGGUUAAUAAUCCUGAGCUCGCGACCCUUAAACUGGGAGGACGCAUGAGAAAAGAUGACUAGGUUAUUGAAUUCCGAGUUGAGUCUACGGACUCAGCGCAUCAUUGGAUCGAGUGCCAAGAAAAGCCCCAGCAUAUGCUAAGCGACCCGUACCGCAAACCGACACAGGUGGGUGGGUAGAAUAUACCAAGGCGUAAGAGUGAAACCUGGUUAAGGAACUCGGCAAAUUAGCCCCGUAACUUCGGAAGAAGGGGUGCCUGCAGCGAUGCAGGCCGCAGAGAAAUGGCCCAACCGACUGUUUAUCAAAAACACAGCACUCUGCAAAGACGCAAGUCGAAGUAUAGGGUGUGACACGUGACCAAUGCCGAAAGAUUAAGGCAAGGGGUUAGCCGCAAGGCGAAGCUCUGAACCCAAGUCCCGGUGAAUGUCGGCCGUAACUAUAACGGUCCUAAGGUAGCGAAAUUCCUUGUCGGGUAAGUUCCGACCUGCACGAAUCGUGAAACGAGUUGGGCACUGUCUCAACCAGGCGCUCAGUGAAAUUGUAGUGGCGGUGAAGAUGCCGCCUACCCGCAGAAGGACGGAAAGACCCUAUAGACCUUAACUGUAAGCUGUCAUUGUUUCUUCGGUUUUAAUGCUCAGAGUAAGUGGGAGACGCUGAAGACGCCCUUUAGGGGGCGUCUGAGUCAUCAAUGAGACACCACCCUUUGAAACUGGAGGAUCUAACCCUGAGCCGUGAAUCCGGCCAGAGGACCGUGUCAGCCGGUCAGUUUUACUGGGGCGGUAUCCUCCCAAAGAGUAACGGAGGAGCGCGAAGGUGGGCUCAGCCCGGUUGGCAACCGGGUGUCGAGUGCAUGGGCAUAAGCCCGCCUAACUGUGAGACCUACAAGUCGAGCAGAUGCGAAAGCAGGCCCAAGUGAUCCGGCGGUAGAAAGUGGAAUUGCCGUCGCUCAACGGAUAAAAGGUACCUUAGGGAUAACAGGCUGAUCACGCCCAAGAGUUCAUAUCGACGGCGUGGUUUGGCACCUCGAUGUCGGCUCGUCGCAUCCUGGGGCUGGAGAAGGUCCCAAGGGUCCGGCUGUUCGCCGGUUAAAGCGGCACGCGAGCUGGGUUCAGAACGUCGCGAGACAGUUCGGUCCUCUAUCCUCUGUGGGCGUUGGAAAAUUGAGGGGUUCAGACCUUAGUACGAGAGGACCGGGUCUGACGCACCACUGGUGCAUCGGUUGUACUGUCAAGUGCAUGGCCGAGUAGCUAAGUGCGGACGGGAUAAGCGCUGAAAGCAUCUAAGCGCCAAGCCCAUCCCAAGAUGAGUUUUCCCUAUAGGUUCGUGGAAGACCACCACGUUGAUAGGUCGCAGGUGUAAGUGCAGCAAUGUAUUGAGCCAAGCGAUACUAAUUACCAAUAGACUUCAUCAUAUUACA